rnacentral:Y_RNA from 1 species
GGCUGGUCCAAUGGUAGUGGGUUAUCAGAACUUAUUAACAUUAGCAUCACUAAAGUUAGUAUCCAACCCCCCACUGCUAAAUUUGACUGGUUAAAA